UACGAACCGUCCAAACGUUAUUCGGAAUCACUGGGCUUAAAGAGUCCGUAGGCGGCUGAGAAAGUAGGGUGUGAAAUCCCACGGCUUAACCGUGGAACUGCGCCCUAAACUACUCAGCUUGAGGGAGCUAGAGGUAAGCGGAACUGAUGGUGGAGCGGUGAAAUGCGUUGAUAUCAUCAGGAACACCGGAGGCGAAGGCGGCUUACUGGGGCUUUUCUGACGCUGAGGGACGAAAGCUAGGGUAGCGAACGGGAUUAGAUACCCCGGUAGUCCUAGCCGUAAACGAUGAGCACUGAGCCGGAGGCCUGCACAGGUUUCCGGCUGUAGCGAAAGUGUUAAGUGCUCCGCCUGGGGAGUAUGGUCGCAAGGCUGAA
rnacentral:rRNA from 1 species